AUGGCGUCUGCUGAAACAGGAGGCGACAAGUACCGGUCGUUCAUGGACGGCCAGGGCGAGAAGAACACUGUGUGGAGGCAUGGAGUCCCUCCCAACUUCGACGUCGUGAACAAGCUCUUCGAGGAAGAGAGGACUAAGGAAUGGGCGGAGGGGAGUCUGGAAGAGAAGGUGCAACGGUUGCUCAAGACAUGGGAGAUGGAGAUGUUCCACAAGGUGCGCCCCGAGGACCAGAAGAGCGUGCACUCCCAGGGAUUCACCAGCAGCACCAACGGGAUGAAGCCUCUGACCCGAAAGGAGUGGACGGCCAUCGGCGGCUACAACGCGUUCCUGGCAACCAAGCUGCCGCUGGAGCACCGCAUCUACGACCCGGACACGGAGACGUUUGACUCCGGCAUGGAGACGUUCCUCACGGUGUUCCCCCAGGGCUUCGCCAUCGAGGUGCUCGACGUGUACUGCACCGGCCCGCCUAGGGUGGCCUUCAAGUUCCGGCACUGGGGAUACAUGGAGGGGCCGUUCAAGGGCCACCCUCCACACGGCCAGCGUGUGGAGUUGUUUGGCGUCUGCAUUUUCCAUGUUGAUGAGGAGAUGAAAGUGGAGAAGGCAGAGUACUUCUACGAGCGCGGCAACUUCCAGGCGAGCUUCUUGAGCACACCUGCUGCUGCUGCAUCAGCUUCAGGUUGCCCUGUGAUGAGAGGAAACUAA
rnacentral:rRNA from 1 species